CCUACGUGAGGCUGCAGUGGGGAAUAUUGGGCAAUGGACGCAAGUCUGACCCAGCAACGCCGCGUGAAGGAAGAAGGCUUUCGGGUUGUAAACUGCCUAUAAGGGGGAAGAGCAGAAGACGGUACCCCUUGAAUAAGCCACGGCUAACUACGUGCCAGCAGCCGCGGUAAUACGUAGGUGGCAAGCGUUGUCCGGAUUUACUGGGUGUAAAGGGAGCGCAGGCGGCACGCUAAGCCUGAUGUGAAAACCCGCGGCCCAACCGCGGGAGUGCAUUGGGAACUGGCGGGCUGGAGUACCGGAGGGGCAGGCGGAAUUCCUAGUGUAGCGGUGAAAUGCGUAGAUAUUAGGAGGAACACCAGUGGCGAAGGCGGCCUGCUGGACGGAGACUGACGCUGAGGCUCGAAAGCGUGGGGAGCAAACAGGAUUAGAUACCCCUGUAGUC
rnacentral:rRNA from 1 species